rnacentral:rRNA from 1 species
ACGCUGGCGGCAGGCCUAACACAUGCAAGUCGAGCGGUAGCACGGGAGAGCUUGCUCUCUGGGUGACGAGCGGCGGACGGGUGAGUAAUGUCUGGGAAACUGCCUGAUGGAGGGGGAUAACUACUGGAAACGGUAGCUAAUACCGCAUGACCUCGCAAGAGCAAAGUGGGGGACCUUCGGGCCUCACGCCAUCGGAUGUGCCCAGAUGGGAUUAGCUAGUAGGUGGGGUAAUGGCUCACCUAGGCGACGAUCCCUAGCAGGUCUGAGAGGAUGACCAGCCACACUGGAACUGAGACACGGUCCAGACUCCUACGGGAGGCAGCAGUGGGGAAUAUUGCACAAUGGGCGCAAGCCUGAUGCAGCCAUGCCGCGUGUGUGAAGAAGGCCUUAGGGUUGUAAAGCACUUUCAGCGAGGAGGAAGGCGUUGCAGUUAAUAGCUGCAGCGAUUGACGUUACUCGCAGAAGAAGCACCGGCUAACUCCGUGCCAGCAGCCGCGGUAAUACGGAGGGUGCAAGCGUUAAUCGGAAUUACUGGGCGUAAAGCGCACGCAGGCGGUUUGUUAAGUCAGAUGUGAAAUCCCCGAGCUUAACUUGGGAACUGCAUUUGAAACUGGCAAGCUAGAGUCUUGUAGAGGGGGGUAGAAUUCCAGGUGUAGCGGUGAAAUGCGUAGAGAUCUGGAGGAAUACCGGUGGCGAAGGCGGCCCCCUGGACAAAGACUGACGCUCAGGUGCGAAAGCGUGGGGAGCAAAC